GAUGAACGCUGGCGGCGUGCCUAAUACAUGCAAGUCGAGCGAACGGACGAGAAGCUUGCUUCUCUGAUGUUAGCGGCGGACGGGUGAGUAACACGUGGAUAACCUACCUAUAAGACUGGGAUAACUUCGGGAAACCGGAGCUAAUACCGGAUGAUAUUUUGAACCGCAUGGUUCAAAAGUGAAAGACGGUCUUGCUGUCACUUAUAGAUGGAUCCGCGCUGCAUUAGCUAGUUGGUAAGGUAACGGCUUACCAAGGCAACGAUGCAUAGCCGACCUGAGAGGGUGAUCGGCCACACUGGAACUGAGACACGGUCCAGACUCCUACGGGAGGCAGCAGUAGGGAAUCUUCCGCAAUGGGCGAAAGCCUGACGGAGCAACGCCGCGUGAGUGAUGAAGGUCUGCGGAUCGUAAAACUCUGUUAUUAGGGAAGAACAUAUGUGUAAGUAACUGUGCACAUCUGGACGGUACCUAAUCAGAAAGCCACGGCUAACUACGU
rnacentral:rRNA from 1 species